rnacentral:rRNA from 1 species
AACGAACGCUGGCGGCAUGCCUAACACAUGCAAGUCGAACGAGAUCUUCGGGUCUAGUGGCGCACGGGCGCGUAACGCGUGGGAAUCUGCCCUUUGGUUCGGAAUAACAGUCGGAAACGACUGCUAAUACCGGAUGAUGACGAAAGUCCAAAGAUUUAUCGCCAGAGGAUGAGCCCGCGUAGGAUUAGCUAGUUGGUGUGGUAAAGGCGCACCAAGGCGACGAUCCUUAGCUGGUCUGAGAGGAUGAUCAGCCACACUGGGACUGAGACACGGCCCAGACUCCUACGGGAGGCAGCAGUGGGGAAUAUUGGACAAUGGGCGAAAGCUUGAUCCAGCAAUGCCGCGUGAGUGAUGAAGGCCUUAGGGUUGUAAAGCUCUUUUACCCGGGAUGAUAAUGACAGUACCGGGAGAAUAAGCUCCGGCUAACUCCGUGCCAGCAGCCGCAGUAA